rnacentral:lncRNA from 1 species
AUGCCGGCGGUGCUGCCCUGGUCUUUGGACUCCCAGACCUGGCAGCCUCCAAAGAAAGAAGCCAAGGCUUUCACCUUUUCAUUUCGCCUGUUCGGAGCUGCGUGGACCCGUGCCGGACACCUACGGCAGCGAAGGACUCGGGUGCGACGGAUGCGCCCCGCCCCGCCCGGCUGCACCCCCCGCCCCAGGCCGCGCGGGCCCUUACCCAGGCACAGCAGCAGGCGGCGCGGCUCCAUCCUCCUCGCGGGGCUGCGGGGAGCGCGGCGGGAGGCGGGGACCAGGCGACGCCCCGGCCCUGGACACCCGGUCCGCCGGCGACUGGGCUGCGCGGCGGGGCGCGGCGGCCUUUAUAGCGCCGGGGAGGGGCCUGGGGACUCGCUGGCGGGGCGAGGUGCGGGGAGCCCCGAGUUUCACAACGGGCCGGGGCGUGGCGGGGCCGCCCGAGGGUCAUCCUCCCUUGGAACGCCCGGAGCGCUCGGGGACGGAAAGCGGCCUCCUGGCGAGCCGCGGAGCGCUCCCGGACUUCUCCAUCCCGUCUCGGAUCCGGGUGGGGGGGGGGGGCGGACCAGGUGCAUCGGUUCUCCCGCCGGGGGCACCUGCGCUGCAGGGGGUGGUGCAGCCGCUGCGGGCGACGGGCCCAACCCGAAGCGGGGCGGCCCGGGCGGCGUCCCAGGAGGUGCUCGCGGGGGCCUGGGCCGGGAGCCCCUGCGCCCCCCGCCCCGCGGCCCCAUCCGGGCUGCUCUGCCCCGCGGGCUCCCCGCCGUUUGCCGCCCGCCCGCCUGCCGCGCCCGACCUUGCGCCCCGGAUCCUGCGCUCGGCCUCGCGCACCCGCUCCGGGACCUUCCCGGGACGCCCGUGGCUCCUCCGACAAAGUCCGCCUCGGCGCGGGCCCAACCAGGCCGCCCCACGCCCGCCCCCAUCCACGGCAGGCGCUGGGCCCCGCCGGCGCUGGAAGCCCUUUGCCCUCGCUGCCCCCGGCUCCCUCCUGCGCUGCUGGGGUCCCGGCUGCCUUUCACUGCAGCUUCUCGAAUCCUCCCGGUUUUCCUGUUAGGCGGGAAGGGCCCGGAUUCCCUGAGCCCGCAGGGAUCCCCCUUCACUCGGACCUUUCACGGCUCCUGUUGUCUCUGCCCCUCAGGCUCACAGAAUCCUAGAUCUAGUACUUUACGCAGGAUGAAAGGACUUUGUAUUGGUUUCUUUUCUUUCCUUUUUUUCUUGUUUGUGAGCCUUAUGUUCAGAUCCGUGUGA